rnacentral:tRNA from 1 species
AUUUAAGUAGUUUAUUAAAAUAAAGAAUUGUGGUUUCUUAGAUACUGAAAAGUCUUAAAUU